ACAUGGAAUUGGGCGAUGCAGAUAAUUCAUUGCUCAUUGAUGACCUUGGCAUUACAGAUAAGCAAUGGGGAGAUGACCAUCUGUAAUAUCUGAACAGUCUAUCGUUUUCACAGCUGACAGCAUAAUGUGAACUUGGAAGAAUGAAGAAGCCACUAUCUGAAUGGGAAAUGGUUGCUCCUUUUAAAUUCACAUGGCAGUACCAGAUUGCUUAAAGUUACUUAGUAAGCAACAAGGAGCUGCUACGUCAAUCUACUGUGCCACAGCUAUGGAACUUGAAGGACUCGGAGGGAUGUACUUCAACAACUGCUGUCGCUGUUUGCCAUCGCACCAGGCUCAGGAUGAAAUGACGGCUGUAGCCUUAUGGGAACUGAGCGAGAGACUGAUCCAAGAUCGAAUUGGCAAGCAGUCCAAAUAACUGGGAGUUUCUAUAAAGAUCAAAACACAUAGAGUACGUGCACACUAGAAGGCAGCCAACUAGAAGGCAGCCAACUCCGGAAUCUUUCUAAUCUUAUCAUCCAGAGAGUUUCUGUAUAGCUGAGUUACAGAUUAGGUAGUGUUAAAUGAAAUAAUAACAGUCACAACACAGUAAAAGUGCUAAUGGGAAAUUGGGAAUAUUACAGGUUAAAAGUGGCAAUAUCUUUUUUCAGUGGCCUACACAGAAUUUCUACACUGCUUUGUGAAUUGAAGUAAAUUGUAACAUAAUCUAGUGCAUAAACCCGUUCACAAAUGAGGGACUUUUACAGCGCAGCAUAAAAUGUUAACUACUUAAUUUUAAUUUAGUCAAAUUUUUCCAUUCUAAGAUGGGCUUUUGAUUUACUGUUUUUUCCAAAUAUAUUUCAUUACUGCUGAAACUGAACAAAUGUAUUUUUUCAGGACAAGAGUGUGCCUUCAAACAUGCAUAUACUGCCAUGCAAAUGAAAACAGUAAUCUGGAAUUGCUCACUACAAAUAUUAAGAGCCUGUUAUUCUGAUACAAAUAUACUUUGGAGAAAUCUCUUCCUCUGAGUAAUGAUUUGAUAGAAAGGGAGUGUAAACACAUAUCCAUCAGUAGGCUAAGGGAAGGUUAUACGUUUUUUUUAGCAACAUGCAGUGUGCUCUGAGGGGUUAAAAGACAGUUUAUCAAUUUCAGAAUCAUUGCUUCAUAUGUUUCCAUGACUAAGGCAUACAUAGGUUUGUCAUACUUAUUUCAAAUUACAUUUUCUAGUUCUUAAAUAUAAUGCUGAAACAUCACAUGCAUUGUUUAUUGUUUUCAGCUGAAAUGAAGGCUUCUUUACUACACAUUUUGUUAUUCUUGAAAUAAAUAAACACAGACUAACAAAGAACCUA